rnacentral:lncRNA from 1 species
UUUUUUUUUUUUUUUUUGGCGUGAAAAGUGUUUAAGUCGAGUCUAUAAAUAAUGAUUUGCCACAACUAAUGUAGAGAUAUAAACUAAUAAGAUCAAUCAAAACAGGGAUGAGAAGGAGUCCUCUUUGUUGACUGGACCAACCCACAAGCAGCAGAAGGUAUGGUAUGGUAUGGUGCGUUUUCAUUCUGUAUCUUUUUCCAGCCUUCCACAGCGGGAUGGAAUUUGAGUUGGUGAAUUGGGGGGGGGGGGGAGAGGUUGCUGUCAUUCAAUAAACUGUCUUCUAGACCAAACGGAAAACGGAGAAGAAGGAAAAGACGCGUCGUUGGAUUGGUACGAGCAGCAUUCUGCAUUCCUCAUUGAUAUCAUAACUUGACUUUAGAUUGCGACUGAAUUAAAUUAUCGAUAUCUGCUGUCAAAUUACUUGAAUUCCUUGAUUUGAUAGGAACGUAUGAUUCGUUCUCCAUGAUGAAGAAUUUAUGUUCAUCAGAUUCCCUGCAAGAUCCUUGGGACAAAAUUAAAAAUCCAAGAAAGUAAAGAAACAGGGGAACGAGAGCAGUCGCAUUUUUAUUGCAAGUCAUUCUUGACUUGUGAAUGUCACGACCAACAGACUAAGCAGGAAUCCUGUGAAAGAAAGGUUCUUGCUUUGAUGCUUUUGAACCUUUGUCACGGCGUCUGCCCCACGCAUUACAUUACACAACCAGAUGAGCUGUGUUUCAUGUGAAGAACUGAUGAUAGACUGGAGUUAGUUGCCAUAGAAAAUUUUCACUCCAAAGGUGGAAGGAAAACAAAUCUAAAACUGGAAAUCCGCAAAAUAACACUUAAAAACUUUAUUAUAGUAAACAAUUUUCAUUUUUAUUUUUCCCCUUUCUGAAACAGGUUUCUCUGGACAUGCUAAGGCAGUUGUCUUUAGUGAAAACAAGCAAGCUCUCUCUUAUGGGAAUCUCGACCACCUGGCUGGUAAGCAGGAUAAGCUUAUGCUGCUAAGCUCUUUGAUGCGAUCUCAUACACAUUCUCUGAAAGCCCAUUGGAGGACAAGAUCAUCUCGAGCUGUGCCUGCAAGAAUCCGCAAGGGUUUUCUCAAUGCUUUGACUAGCCAAGAAGAACGCUGAUGAUGAUGAUGAUGUUAACUAUUUCGUUAAAAAAGUAACCGCUUUUCACAGAGAAAAGUAUCUUUUCAGCAGCAGCAGCAGCAUUGAGUAACUGACAGUAAAAAAUGCCAUCAUGUCCAGACAAAUUUGAGUGUGUAGUAGUUACCUUGGCAAGAUUUUGCCGAGUUUCAUCAUAACGCUUCCACCUUGAGAAGGCUGACACCAUUCGAGAAGCCACCUGCAAUUCAAUUCACGAGGAAAUGUUCGUAUGAGAUUAAAAUGACCAAAUUCAUAAUAUAGUAUAGUCUUGAAGAAAUUUCUUGAAUGAACCUGAGGAUUCAAUUUGUCAAGCUGCACUACGAUUUCCCCCAAGAAUUUGUAUCCUGAUCCAUCUUUUGCAUGGAAGUUGACUCGUGAUCCACAAAAUCCUCCAAUUAAUGAAUAUACCUGCAGAACAUAUCAAGACUGAGCACUAACAUGAUGGGAAUUACCAAGUGAAAUUUGACAUUAAGCGUAAUAAACCUUGUUUGGAUUGCGCAAAUCAAAGGCAGGAUGUGCUAGAAGCUUCUUGACAUUUUCAACAUUCCCAGGAAUAUCUGAUACGGCUUGAAGUGCAAACCACUUGUUUACAACCUGGAGAAAAAUAGAUUAGAGCAAUCUUCAAAAGAACCUGAAAAAGGUUUUCAUUCUCCCUAUUCUUCUUACAGAGAAGUAAUACUCAAAAACUUCAUUAAUCACACAGCGAGUGUGAAGUGAUUUAAUCACAAAGACACAAGAUCAAUUUAGGACAAUAUCCCAAAUUUCGCCUAUCAAAACCUUACCCCAGAGUAAGAGUCAGCUGCGCAAGACCAAUUUCUCCAGUUAACUUGGAUACCAGAAUAUUACUGGUUAACUAAAUUGGUUAUUUGGUUAAUUACACUUUGCCCCUGAACUUUGGGGGUAGAAAAGUUAGAAACCUUAGCUCCGGCAAACACUGUGAGUGCAAUGACAUUAUUGCCCUCUUAUUUACGAGAUAAAAUUUUCCAUUUUAUUGCUAAAAGAUAACAUUUCCCCUUUCAUUGCUAAAAGACAUCAUUUUCUCUAUAGUAUCUACAAUACAAAAAUAUCAAAUUGAUAAAAGCAAAAAAAAGUUGACAUUUAAUUUAUUAUCCUUAAAAUUUAUCCUACAAAAGCAAUGUUCAUUUUCGUACAUAUUUUGUUCAAUUUAUUAGACUUUAAGUCAAACAAUAAGGAUAAAUAACACGGUACUAACAAUACAUACAGUUUCCGCAACAAAAGGGUAAUGGUGUCAUAAUAUCAGUUUUUGUUUUUUGACAAAGUCAAGAAUUCCACAGUUGACUAAUCUUCAUGGGGAAUUUAUAUUUUUAAGGUUGGGGAUGGUAAAGUAAUUAAGCCAUUGCUAUUUCUUCUUUUAAUAAUUCAUCCAAAUUUAGCAUUCACAUUUCCUAUUUCCCCACCAUGAUAACAUGCAAAAUACAAACUUCCUUUGUCCAAAAUGAUACAUGGCACAAUUAAAAAGCUGAAACCAACAAGAUUUUUAAUCAGAGACAUGAAGAAACUCCUACAAAAAGCAGAACACCUAUUAAAGAAGAAACAGUGAAGGCAUACCAAAAAGUCAUGCUGCCAUUUGUUGUAGAAAUCAGCCAAAACUUGAUCACGAAUUUCGCCAGGCUUCUGUUCAAUGGCAACAAGAGCUGCAAUCUGCUCCGUCAUGUUGGUAGCAGUCCUAUAUUCAUUUAGUAAAAGCUCUGUAACUUCUGGAUCAGAAAGAGACCCAAGAUAUGCUGUCAAAAAAGGAAACAAAUGCGAUUAGCUAACAAAGUUCUGGAAACAAUAUAAUCCAGAUGAAACAUGGGGAAUGAAAGGAAAUAAAAGGCUAACUAACACACGUAUUUUUGAGGGCACGCCUAGCCAUAUUGGGAUGGUUAAACUCAUAUGGUUCUGAGCUGCAGUUACUUUUCACCUGAAAAAGAGCCCAAGCCAAAUGAGAAAUGAAUCAAAAACCGCAAUCGAAAAAAGACUUGACACUUUUCGACUAGCUUAGAAAUCCAUACUGUGUUGAGGAACUCUUCUUUUAAUGCAGAAGCAAGCUCCUUUCUGAUGAAAUUUCGAACAGCAUGAACUGCAUCUGGGUCAGCAACUUCCAUCAUGUCCAUAAUCUCUCCCUCUCCAGGCAGGGUUAUUGCCUUUGAGAUAAACUCCUGAAUAUUACGGGCAUUAAAAGUUAAAACAAUGAAAUCCAUUCUCAUUUAUUAUUCCUUCAAAUGAAUGGAGAUGCACCAAAGCCCACACCUUGUCCAGGCUUGAAUCACAAAGUAUGCUUCGGAGUCCUUGUACAAAUUGUGGGUUCAGAACCAAGGUCUUACUCUCCUGGAAAUCACCCACCAGGCUAAGCAUAAGCUUCCUAGCCAAGAUCUGCCCGGCUUCCCAACUAAUGUACAGAAACAUAAUAUCUUUUAGAGACGUAUCUCAAUUCUUUAUUUAAUCAGCUAAUAGACUGGAUUGGAAUAAAUGCUCAUGAGUUUCAUGUCUACAUACCGGUUGAACUCAUCAGAAUCAUGAGCAAGGAGGAAGAAUAGAUCACUAUCGGUUAGAUCAGAGUGAAGCCUCACAGGAGCGCUAAAACCUCGUAACAAGGAUGGAAUCGGCCGCUCAGAUACAUCAUUGAAAAUGAAUUCUUCUUCUUUCUGCUCAGUAGGAACAAAAACUAUACAUCAUGAACACAUUUUAUUUCAACCAUCUUAAAAUGCAUUAAAAGCUGAACUAUUUAUGCCUAGAUAAUGGACAGUUCUCUCUAGCCCUAGGUUAAUAAAUUAAAUUCAGCCAUGAGCAUAAGUAUUAAUCUUCCUUGUGCAAGUUCUUUAUGCAAGUUAGGCUUAUGUAUUACACUUCACAAACAGAUCUAAAAUUUGUGUCACAUGUAUAAAGAAAAAAAUAUUUACUAUGUAUAAAGAAAAAAUAUAAAUAUUUUUUUCUUGUAUAAAUAGCAGACAUCUUUACUAUGGGCACUAAUAUGAUUUUUACGGCAGAAUUCAGCAGCAAUUUGGUUCUCAAAAAAGGAUGAACGUUAAGAACCUAGUUUAUAUUUGAGUAAAUUUGGUGCUGUCGAUGGAAGUGGCUUAUAUAUUAUGUUCUUCAAGAAAAUCAAGCAUCUUUAUUUCUCAUUUCCACCACACAAUGACAAGAUCCAACUGAAUCUUGUAAAUUUGAGCUUUCAAACUGAAUCUUUACAUAACAAAGAUAAGGCAGUUCAAAGAAGAUGACUCAGAACACAAGUGAAUCAACAUUAGGAUUUCAAUCUGACCUUUGUUACUCUGAGAAUGGUAGUAUAGACUGGUUGACUAUUGCUACCAAGUUGCUCCAACUUUCCAUCAUGAUACACAGAAGACAGAGCUAUGUCCUUGCCAGUUGAGUCAAGCAGACCUAUGGCAACAGGAAUAAACAUAGGUUCUUUCACUGGCUGCCCUGGGGUUGGGGAACCUCCUGGCUGGAAAAUACAAAAGGCAUCCAUGUUAUUAUGACAAGUUAGAUAAUUUUGCAGAAAUUUUCACUAAGACUUGAUGGCUAUAACUCUAUAAACCAGCAACUCUAGGAGUUGUACCUAAACUUCAAAGAAUAAGUACGAGCUUCAGGAUUGUAUGCAGAGGCAACCUUCAAAGAAGGAGUUCCAGCUUGAGAGUACCUGCAUUUUUCUUCUUUGUAAGGGCUCAAGCACCCAAAAGCAUAACAAAAUGCAGAUAAUUUUUUUGGUUAAAUUUUUGGAUAAGGCAACUCCACAACUUACCACAGCAAAAAGUUGGAAAAAUCAGCACCAUUUGCAUCUCUCAUGGCUGCAAAAAAUUCUUCACAAGUAACAGCUUGACCAUCAUGCCUCUUGAAAUAGAGAUCCAUUCCCUGUGUGAAGAGUAACAAAUUUUCUAAGCAUAUGUUGAACUGUAGUAAGCAUCUCAAGUUAAUUAAAUGUAGGUAGUCAAGCUCAAAUGCAUUCUUACUUUUCUAAAUCCUUCCUUCCCCAAAAGGGUUUUGUACAUCCUCACAACUUCAGCUCCCUGAUCAACAGGAUUGCAAAUGAACCAAAGCCGAGACAAGUAACAUCCAGCAGAGAGAGAUGAAGAAAGAAAGGGAGAGAGAGUGUGAGAGAAGAAGAGAGACAGAGAGAGAUACCUUUUCAUACACCUGCAGAGGAUUUAAACAAAAAUGAACAGAUGAAAAAUCAGUUGCAGAAGUUCACACACGGCAGAGAAGAAAAUUAACACGAUGCAAAUGCUAUGCCUUACCGUUACUGCAAGUUGAAAAUCAACAAUCAUAUCCACCAUAUCAGGAGAUGUAAUAGCCAAAACAUUGUAUAUUCAAGUCAGAGGCAAGUUUCAAUGUUCAAAUUGCUAAAACAUAUAUGAAGCCAUCAUUCACUAAAUUCAAUGAACCAAGAGCUUGCCUGUAUAGAAGUUGUCCAUCUGUCAAGGAGGAAAAAAGAACUCUGAGCAAAGACAGAUGAAACUAUUGAUGCAAAAGCUUUGAAAGAAGUCUAUCCAUGAGAGUGACUAUCAGAAGAAAGAGGAGAAUCAAGACCUUGAUAUAAGAGUGAGGUCGAACGGGAUGAGCCAUGGGACCAGCAUCCUAGAUGAUUAUGACAAAUAAUAGUUAGUCACAACAAGCUGAACCAUGAUCUAUUUGGAAUAACAUGAUUUUCUUCUAUCAAAUUGAUGGUUCAUGAUGAACUAAGCCAAGAUUUAGAAAAUUAAGAUCUGCAACUCAUGUCAUAGGCAACAUAGACAACUUCAUAAACCUGAGGAUAUUGAUAAAUUCGAAGCUUCGAAACAUCAGCUAUUCUCUUCACAGUACGGCUGCCCAUAUCAGAUGAAAAUUCCUGUCCAUUGGCAUCCACGAUUAGGAGCUAAGCCAAAAGUAAAUUUUAUGAUAACCACAGCCUCUAGGAAAAAGAAGUAUGCACCAACCUGAUCACGGAAGACAGUGAGCCCUUCUUUCAAACUAAGCUGGAACCAGUCACGACAUGUCACUCUGCAAUUAGCACAGUAGCGAACCUCCCUCUUAGUGUUUUUCGAAAAUUUAAGUUCAAGUUGCAUAAAAUUUUAGUACAAGCCUAAUCAAUUAAAUAACAAGUCCUGACAUGCAAGAAUAUGAAUAAAAGUCCUUAUACAACAGCCAGUAAAAAAUUGUCAAGUGCAAUGUGGAGGAAUAGGCUUACCUGUUGCCUGUCCAGUUGUGAAAAUACUGCACCAAGGAUGACACCAAUCAGAAGUCUAGUACUUUGAAACUAUGAAGAAUUUACCAACUUCAAAGGACUAAUGAUCAAAUACCUCAUGCCCAAUCACACCCAAAAUUGCGCAUAGUCUCCAUCACUUGCAGUUUCCGGAGAUGCCAAGACAAGCUUGGAAUUGAAAAUCUGCAACGGUGGGGGAAAAAAUUUCAGAGCCCAUUUCCAGAAAAUAGAACUCAUAAAAUUUUAGCAAAGAAUCCCCCAUUCAAAAAGUGGCAAAAUUUCAGGAAGCUUACAUUCAAACUCUUAUUUUCCAUGGCACCCCUGAGAGUAAAAGUCGAAAAAAGUUGUUAGUGAAUUUGAAGGCAGAUGUAUAAUAACAAUUCUGCAAAAUCAAAGGAAGAGCAACUAACAUGUUAAAAUCUGGAACAGCAACAACAUUGAAGAGAUCCAGGUCAUACUCAAGCCCAAAGACCUUUAAAAAGCAAAGAUGGAAGAGUUAGUAGAGCUUGAACCAUUUAGGCCAAAUGAAAACAUCAGAAAAGCCGUCCAAAAGGAAAUCUUACAUCUUCAUCCCAUUUCAUAGCAGCUUUCAGAGAAUACAUGGCAUGGGCUGUCUUGGGCAGAUCCUGUGCUGGGGUCCAGAUUUUAAGUAAGACCUUACGCCCUGAUCGAGUAAUAAAAGUAUCAUCUCUGCUCUCCAACUGUCCAGCAACUAGUGCGAACAGAUAACAUGGUUUCUUAAAGGGAUCCUCCCAUACAGCAUAAUGCCUGCCCCCCUGCAGCAGCAACAAUGAUGCUUAACCUUCGAACAACUCCAUUUGGUAGAAAAUUUGCUUCCGUUGCAUCAUAAACACAUUUUCGAGUCAUCUUUUUAUCUCAAAUACAUUACAUCACAAAAGUGUUACAGUAUUAUUCUGAAAACCUUUUAAAAUAAUAUUCUAUCCAAACACAUUCUUGCUAUUGAAGAACUAUACCUGUAGGUCUCCUUGCUCAUGAGAUUUCCAUUAGACAACAAAACAGGGUAUAAGGACUUGUCAGCUUCAAUACGACAAGUGUACUCUGCCAUUAUGUCAGGACGAUCCUAAAACAGAGAGCAAAAUCAUCAGUAGGUGUCGAAAGAUAGCAAAUGCAAAGUUAAAGUGAUGCUAAACAAAUACAUUACCUGAUAGAAUGUAAUUUUUCGGAAACCUUCAGCUUCACAUUGUGUGCAAAAGUUACUAGAUGACUUAUACAGCCCCUACAUACAUAUCACCAGGAUCAGACAUGAUGAGAUGAAUGACAAGUGCACAUAAGAAUACACUAGGUAUGCACAGCGAUGCCAGAAUCCCAUUCUACCAAAGUAAUAUAAGAGAGAAUUGUUUUGACCUCAAGGGAAGUGUUCUUCUGAGGCAGUAUUUCAGUAACGAUUUCCAAUGUGAAUCUGCCACUGGGAGGUGAUACAAGAGUCAGGUGGCGUGGGUUCAAGCAAUAUUCUUCCUCCUGAAACUCUUUAAUUGCUUGAUCAGAAAGCAAGUUCAAAAGCAUUAUUACACAAUUCAAAGUCCAAGAUUCAUCUCAUUCUAAGAGAUCUGUUUCACACUUUAUGGAUCAAAAAGAGAAUGCACUCAAAACAUACAAAAAUUCCAUAAACAGAAAAAACAACUAACUGUCAACCAGCAAAUUAUGCCAACUUCAGCAACAAACAUGUCAAUCAGUAAAGUCUUGGAUGUCAAUGCAGACCUUCAAAGCCUUGCCAUCUAUAGUUACUGAAAUCAACUUGAGAUCUUGUCCGUCUAAGACCAAUGGGGAAGAACCACCUGCUUAUAGAAUUCACCAGUCAACAAAAACCAUAUCUACAAGAGCUUCGUAAUUAAAAUUCCAGACAGAACUCUGAGAAAACAGAUGCUUUUGCUCUACAUGAUAUAUUUACCACCAAAAUAAAAAGCCAAUUCUUCUGUGUUCUGGGAAAAAAAAACAACCAUAGACAGAUGCAUUUGCUGUUGUCCAACAAGUGAAAAUGAUUACCUUCAACUCUGGGGUAGACACUUAUUUUGGAAGAUACGAUUGUUUUCUCCUCUCCCAGGGAAAAUUUCAAAUCCACCUGAGAAUUAAUUCCAUUAGUUCAAAGUUUCAGAGUAUCUAUGAUCUAGGCUUCACAAAUCUAUAAAUUUACCGUAUCAAAAUAGAAGUCAGGCUGCUUGUAAUCUUUGAGGAAAAUUUCUUUUGGUGUUUCCAUACUAGGCUCCUCAACUUGCUUCGGUACUGGUUCUGUUGCGACUGAGCAAAUUAACCUCUGGUUGAAUUUCUUAGCACCCUAUAGGGAGAUUAAAAGCCCAUAAUUAUUAAAUAUAGAGGACCACAAAAGGUAACUAUCAUCAUUAGUGUUCGGAUAAAUCAGAUACAGACUGUAACUGCUUACAGAUAACGUAUAAGAUGGAACCCUAUAAUUCCUCCGCUGAGUAGCCUAGUGUAUCACAAAUUAAGAGUAUCAGAGAACUCGUAUCAAGAUUCCCAUGACUUUAGUGAAGGAUACGUGUAAGAGCUAGCAAAAAACAGAAGUAAACAAACAUACCUCAAAACCUACAAUCCACCUAUGCUUUAAGAUAUCAUUGAAAGAAUGCCGACAAGCAACACGACGAGUCACCUGGAACUGCAAUAAGUUAUAGCAAAGAAGUUCAUUACGCGGUGGAUACAGCAAAUCCAUGCAUAUAACUUCCAAAACGCAAAAAGAAACAUUGUGAGAAGCAAUUGCAAUGCAAAGCAGGAGAUUUACUUCGAGUAAGCAACACAUCCAUUUACUCCACGAGAAUAAAGCUCAAGAAUUGCAAAGGCAAUAAAUUUGUGAAAGCCAAUAAUACACACACAGUUAUGAAACUUGAAAGGCAAAAAAAAAAAAAAAAAGCAACAUCCCAAUUUAGAUAAGGCAACAAUAAUCGAUUUAAAAGCAAUGCAGAAAUGAAAUUUUUACGCUCAAAGUUCUUCAUUUUUUACCAGAUUGCCUUGAAAAUGAGCCCAAAAAGGUCAUAAGAACAAAAGCAAAAGUAUAAGGAGCCAAAAGGGAUUGAGUAAUCACAGGAGUAGAGGAUACCAAACCCAAGAAACAAGUCUUUGACAAAGUUGGAGUCUUGCAAGGCAGAAUCAAUCGAGCCAUCACCCAAUUACGCAACUCCUACAGUCCUAUUUCGUUUUCUACUCAGAAAUGUAACAGUAACAGUAACAGUCAGUAAAAAUCAGUUUAAUCCUGAAAGUCGUUAAGCCCUUUUCAAAAGAUUCAGUUCUCGACCAAAACCAAAAACACCCAAAACCUCCCAGAUCAGAAAGUAUAGAAACCCAGACGAGAGAAAGCAGAGGGAAAACAUAAGAGGCAGAGCAAAGGGUUGCUAUAUAAGGUUUGUAAGGGUACAUAUACGGAUAAUUCAAGGAAAAGGACGCGAAAAAUCAGAAAAGACAGAUAUUCAAAAUAUGAAAAUAAGCAAGAAAUUCCCCAGAAAAUAUCAAUCUUAAAUUGUAUAACCUUUUUGCUGAUGAUCAGAGAAUGAUUGAAGACAGAGGAGGGAACAGACGAUCUUUCAGAAGCCUAGGAAGGUGAAACAGAUGUAACCUUCUCCAGGACUCUAAUAGUUUGUUUACGCUAGUAAGUGAUGAUGUUUAUGGAUGGAUAAUUUUUUUUCAAUUUAAAUAUUAGAGGAAGAUAAUUUUGGUUCAAUAUUGUAAACAGAAUUAGCCAAAUUGUGGGCCAAUCUUUGAUGGGACCGGUUGAUUUGGCGGUUACUGCUUGUUUAACAGAAAUAAGAAUUCAUACCAUUGGGCCUAGCUGAAGCUAAUAUGGGGCAUUCUAGGGUUUAGAGGAAAUGUGGGGCAGGAGUUUUUUAUUUCCAAAGUGAAGGGAGUCACAUUCGGUUGAAUUAUUGGGCCUAUAGUCUGGUUUGGGCUAGGAAACAAGCCCUGCAAGUGAUAACAACCCAACGAAAAGUUCGACCCUACACAUUUGUAACAAUGUAGAAAUAAAUUAUUUUUAUAGAACUUUUUACAAUUUAAAAACAUUUUGAUCUUUUUUACUAUUCUUUCUAUGACUUCUUAAAAAAAACUAUUUUUUUCUAUGAUAUUACAGUUAUCUUGAUAGCUACAAUGGUCAUGGACAAUUGUAUUGGUAGUAAGUUUAAAACUAAUUCUGUAGGAAAUUAGUUAUGGUUAUUUUUACAGAAUAUCAUUGUGAGAGAAAAGGUUAAGAGAAAAAGAAGGGAUUUGGUUAAAUUUGGAUUAAUAUUUUAUAUACUGACAGUGCAUGCACCAUCACCGUUCGAUGCAGAACAGCUCAUCUUAAUUUAAAUUUGAAGUUUAAAUUUUUUUCAUAUGUCAUGCGUCCAACUAUGCAUGAUAGUAUAUACACUGUCAGUAUAUACAAGAUUUACUCAUUAAAUUCAGCAUUAUUUUUUGCAAAAUAAGUUAUAGUCAUAUUGAGGGAUUUUACAUAUGGAAGGUGCUUGUUUAUUAGCAAUAAUACGCACAUAUAUGUAUAUAUAUAAUUCUGGAUUUAAUGAACUGUUUUUUUUUUUAAUAUCUAUCAGAUACGUUUACUUGAAUAAAAUCUUUUGCUAAUUCGUUUUUACUUCAGAGUGAUUAGAUAGGAUUAGGUUCCGUCGGCACUUUUCAGGCAGGUUCUUAAAAGUAGGAAUCAGUUGUAAUUUCUAGAGUCACUUUCAAGGAAAGCGCCUAAGAGAUACUAACUAAAGACUAAUGGAAUUAAAAACAGCAGUACUACUGUAUGCUGGCAUGUUCAGCUGCUUGAAAUAUAUGCUUACCCACAUGUACUUAAGAGUUGAAAGAAGCAAAAAAAAAAAAAAAAAGAGCACGUUAUUAAUUAAUGGAAGCCCUUUUGGAUUUUACGACCAAAGUCCCUCAGUGAUGAGGGAUCAUCUUUUCUUUAGACAAAAAUGAGAUGGCCAUCAUAUCUACCCAGCUGCAUGCAUUUGCACAUAGUUAAGCGAGCUCAAUUAGCCACCUAACCCUGAUUUUGUUUGUUUAAAAGUGAAAGAAAGAAACUAAAGGUAUUUCCUGAUUAUAUAUAUAUAUAUAUAUAUAUAUAUAUAUAUAUAUAUAUAUAUUAUGGGCUCAGUAGGGGUGCUGUCGAGUUGAGUCCACUACUCGAGCUCGACUCGAGGCAAAAUAACUAAGUUCGAGCUCGAACUUGAGUUCGAGUUUAAUUAAAUGUAAUUAAUUCAAAUCAAUCUCAAUCGAGCUUAUUCGAGUUCAAUCAAGCCUAAUCAAGCUCAAGUAAUAAAAAUUAAUAUUUUAUAUAUAAUUUUAAAUAAAGGAUAUUAUUGACAUUUCACAAUAAUAAAAAUUAAAAUAUAUAUUAUAAAAACCUCGAUAGAGUUCGUCGAGCUCUUGAGUAUUAUAUUUCUAAGUUUGAGCUCGACUCGAUAGCUCUAACGAGCAGCUCGAGCUCGAGCUUGGUCAACCGGCUCGAGCUCGAGCUGCUAACCAAGUAGCUCGCGAGCUCGAGUCGAGCUAUUUGGUUCAGCUCCAGCCCUAGGCCUCAGUUCUCAGUAUUGAGCGAUGAGAGCUCGGCAAACACUUCCCAGGUGGAAUUGCAGUACCUGUGGGCUGCUGUUAUCUAUCACACACACACACACACACACAUAUAUAUAUAGACGCAGUGGAUGCUUUAACCAUUUUUCUUUCUUGGACAAAAAAUAAAAAUGUGCUUCGGCCGCUAGCUGUUCUCUUGGAUAUAUAUUAUAGUCUCCAUCAAAGCUGUUUUUUCAGUUGAAUGCAUGUGUCCAAAUUGAUCUUGGAAGUGAUGCGUGCAUGAAUAGAAUAGAAUUUUAGGUUAUGAUUAGAUGGACUAAGUCGUUCCUUGAAAGUGAAAGUUUUGUCCACCAAAUUUGUGGCAGUUUUUGGUGCAAAAUAUAAGGGAAGAGAGUAUGUGUAAUUGUUGCGGGGCCAUGAAAAGAAAUAAAUUAAUUUUUUUAAUAAUAAUUAAAAAAAAAACAUAUAUAGAGACCAGGAUGAACCAAUCUUUUGUCUGUCUUUUGAGCAACUAACAAGACUAAAAAGCUAAAGAGUUUUGGCAUUUGUUUAUGAUUCAUACGCUUGUACUCUUUUAAGUUGCCUGCCAGCUUUGUUUGUAGGCCAACAGACUUCCAUUAUAUUCUAAGAAGACCAGACCAGACUAGAAUAUUGCCCUUGUAGAGAUCGAAGAAAAACGUAAAAAUAAAAGAAUUUUCUCAAAUUUUUUUUUUUUACACUUGUUAAUACUAAAAAAAGAAAAAGAGAUAAGAAAGAAGAAGACAGAAAAUUAGACUUUGUAAAAAAAAAAGAAAAUAAAGAAAAAUCUAAUAUUAUCGUAUGAUUCAAAAAUUAUUGAAAUUAGAAUUGAAAUUCGGUGUUAAAUACAAAAGUGAUAUAAUUUUAAAAUAAUAAAAAUAUCAAAACCCAACUACUACGUGCCAAGUAGAGAGAGUGUAGGAUAUAUGAGGAUGAAUCACGUACGUAGACAGCGAAUUGGUCUUCUCACAUGCAAGCAUGUGCUUACUUGCGGGUCUCUUAGGUUGGCACAAAAAGAAAAGAGUGUUUUGGACUGGUGUUGAAGCUGGAAAGAGCCAAAUUGAAGGUAUGACUCAAAGGUCAACUUAACAGUCUCUUGAGGGGUCGCGUACAUAUGGAUCGGACCCGGGCCGGAACGGUUAUACUGACAAUCGUUUCGAAAGUUUAUAUGUAUUUUACAUGUAAUAUAAUAUUAUUUAUAUAUGAUAUAAUACUAAAAUAAUAACAAGUAAUAUUAAUAUAAUAUUUUUUGAAUCUCACACGUGUUAAAAUCUGGACCUUACAAAUUUUGUUGGGCAAAUCAGAUUUGGCGAUUAACUGACAGGGACGGUAACCAUCCCUGCCCCUCUCCCAUAUGGAUGGAUACGGAUGCGUGGAAAAAGUCUUUACCAGUAAUUGAUUUUGUCUGUGGACCAGAUGGGAUGCUUUUGAUAAUCUCUCAAUUUCAUAUGGACAAUAAUUGCUUUGAUGGUUCGUAGGAUGCAAUUGCACUCAGAUCGAGUCGAGCCUCCAUUCCACGCGUUUGAAUUUUUCGAACAAUUAUUAUGUCUUAUUUCCACUUGUUUUGUUUUAUCUGAAUAGAAUAGAAUUCCGAUUUUCUCUCUUUUUUUUUUUUGUGUUUUAUUUCCUUCCUUCAACAAAAAGGUUUGUCAGAGAGGAUGACUAGCGUCGGUAUACACUAUUCAUUUUGAUCAUAAGCAAAUCAUCACAGCAAAGUGCUUAAACUAGAUGUCAAGAUUUGCCUUCCUUCGAUUUUUCUUUCUUUUUUUUUUUUCUCUCUCAGGCGUUGUGCGUAAAAAACUACUCCCUCCGUCCCACUUUGAUAGUUCUCGUUUUCUUUUUUUCGUCUGUCCCAAAUUGUAGUUCACUUUCUAAUUAAAUAAUGUAAUUAUAUUUUAAUUUUUCUAAAUACCCUUAUUCAAUACUCCCUCCCUUUUUUUAUAACUGACGUUUAAGGUUUUGCAACACCAAUUAAGAAAAGUUUUUUAUUGUUUAAAUCUAUACACUACUUUUCCUUUUGUACCCUCAUUAAUUAUCCAAUUCACCCAUGUUUUCUCUCCACUAGAGUUAUUAAGGUGCUGUUUUACUAGGCCAAAAGCAAUGCAAACCAACUCUCACCAAUUAUGAAAAGAGAGAUAAAAAGGAUAAAAUUGUGAAAAAAUAAUUAAUGAUGCAUGGGGAUAAUACAACGACAGAUAAAAGUACUUAAGAGCAAAUUUCUUAAACUUCAGUUAUAAAAAAAGGGAGGGAGUAUAAGUUAUUGUGACUAUAACCUACCUCAUUUAAUGAGAGUUGAUUCUUUUUUUACCAUCAAUUCAAGUUCCCAUAAAGUUGUACCUAUAUAAUGUGAGGGUAUUUUAAGAAAAUAACAAUCUAAAUUUACUUUUUCAAAAAGUUACUACUUUUUUUUAAACUGUGUGAAAAAAGAAAUGGGAUUAUCAAAGUGGGACGGGGGAGUACUUGUUACGUCUGUUUAAUUUUAUGACACAGCUGUUUUAUCAUUAUUUUUAUAUACACAUUACUCUUUAACUUGUUUGGAAUUAUCCGAACAAUGGUUCGUAACAAAAUUUCUGUCUAAAUGUCGUGUUUUGACAUUAGUUCGAAGUACGAUACCUGCAAAUUUUGAUUUUGUUAACCUUUGACUAUCAUACAAUUAAUUCUAUCCGAGUUUUUUUUCUCUCAUUCGCAUCAUAUCUCUACGUCACACAUCUAACAUCAUAAUUUCUCCAAAACACCCCUUUUUGUCCCUCUUUUGUGUGAUGUGAUAUCCCCUUCUUUUUCCCUUAAAAAUUUAAAAGGAAAAAAAAAAUCUUCAUUGGCAAUAUUCACUAAAGAAAAACAUUUUUUUUUAACAUUAUUACUUUCAAUUAUAUAUACUUGAUCCGAUAAAAAAAAACAUAAAGGAGAUGAGAAAACUCUACAUCCUUAAUUAAUUAUUCAAUAUAACACGAAAUUCAACGCCCCUCAACAUGGAAACAGUGGAUUGUGCUCUAUGUGUCUGCACGUGAAAUCCUCAGCCAGAACUAAAACAAUAUGAUGAACGAUAUACAAUAUACCAAAAUCUUGGCAAAACUGUGGAAAUAGACCACAGGCCAUACUCACUGUUACAUAUAAUAAGUCAUCAUGCUUGAAUUUAUGCAGACACUCAAAAACUAUUUGUCAAUUUAUUGACAACGUAAUUUCUAAAAUUUCUUGAUACUGAAAUCCAACCAAAAAUUUUAUAAUCAUCUCCUACUGGAUUAUUUACUUUUCUAUUAGUUGAUAGAGUAUGUGGGAAGUAGCAUUUUGACCGCGUGCAUGCAUGAAUUUGCAUUUCAAAUAAAAAAAAUAAAUUGUAUAUUAUAUAUAAAAGUCAAGACGAUUUGGGGUGUAUACUCCAAUAAUAGGCUGCACAUUCAAAAAAAAAAAAAAGGGAAGAAAAAUAAAAGAAAAGAAAAAAUGACUUUGUGAGUAAAGUAUGGACUUUCCUAAUUUUAAUAUACUAAAUAGGUUGAAGUCAAAAUUUGUUCACCUAUUGUUGGGUUGAUAUCCUAUCAUAAUUUGAAUAUAAUAAUUUAAUUUCAUAAUGCGUUAUAUGCAAGAGUAACUAUAAAACUUAUUGAUGAUUAACCAACAAAAGACAUUCUUGUCCCAUAUUUCACAAUUUAUAAUAUAAAAACAAAAUAGAACUAACUCAUUUAAAAUAAUAAAUAAAUGAAUUUGGUGGUUUUUUUUUUAUUUUAUCUUUCAAAAAUACUUAACUUUGCAUUUUCAAAAUAAAAGCACUGGGUUUUAGUUAUUUUAAAUAAAUUUAAAUUGAAUAGUGUCAAAUUUUCAAAUGACAUUGUAUAGUUAAAUCCGUAUUCAAUUUCAAAUUGAAGAGAUAAACUCUGAAGUCAACUAGAAAAAUCACAUAACCUACAAUUGAUUUGUGUUUUUAAGAUAUACUUAACUUUACCUCAUAAUAUAAAAAUCACAUAAAACUAAAAAAUUGAUCACAAUAGUUACAAGCGUGGGCGUCUGGAAAUGUAAAUAAAAAUUUGAUAAUAUUAUAUAAAACCCUUAACAACCACAACAAAUUUAAAAAAUGACAUAGCAGUGUUACAUAUUUACAUUUGCAGAAAAGAAUAAGGUUAAGAAUAUGCAAAAUAAGGAAGAAAACUCUAAGAUAUUUUUAGUUGUUGGGUUUUUGGCUUUUCUUAAAGCCUUUUUUUGAUAGAUAUAUACAAAUUAAGUAGAUCUAAUUUACUGUCAAAUGUUUUAUAUCUUUUCUUGAACUAUAUUAUUACUUCCUUUUCAUUUUGGUAGGACUAAUGUUGUUUCACUUAAUUUUUCAUCAAAAAUAAAGAUUUUUAAUAAAAAUUUUCACAUUGAAGGGCCAAUAAAAUUUAUUUUUAAUUUAGUGAUUUUAAAUUUAGGCUUUAUUAAUGUUACCAUUAUUUAUUCAACUUGAUCAAUGGGUACAUGUUAAGAGGGUUUCAAGUAUUAAUCUUUUUCAAAAAAAAAAUUUAAUUUGGAAGAGUAUUUAAAUACUUGGGGAUAAGUUACAUAAAUCCUUUUUUUUAAUCCAUAAAAAUCUCAGGUUCAAGCCUUCUCACUUACAAAAAAAAAAAAAACUAUUAUUUCCUUUUUGUUUUCUCUAUAACUUGACCUUUUCGCUUUUAGUUAGGAUUUUAAAAUUGAAGGGUAUAUUAUUAUUAUUUCCUUUUUUACAUUUAGUGAGAAUAGUGAUGUUUCCCUAGUGUUGUUUUAUAGUCAUUAAAUGGCCAAACUUAUUUUUGUUAAGAUUAAUAAAAGACUAAAAGAAGUUUGGUAAGGUUGAGAAAAAUUGAUAUUGAGAUUGCAAAAUCAUAUGCACUCUUUCCUAUUUAUGAUAUACCACGUUUGGAAAAUUUUGCUUUUAGGGAGUAAACUUAACUAAUAAAAGGAUAUGUUUAGGAUGAAUCCAAACAAAGAUAAUAAUGAUAGUAUAAAUGGCAAUCCUCGAUUCAUUAACCUAAAAUAGUGGGAGAGUUCGAAAUUUUGAAUUCGAGAUAAUGAUAAGAUUAGAUAAAAAAACCCAUUAUUUCAAAGUUUUUAAUUGGAUUUUAUGCGUUAAAAUAAUUGAAAAAACAAUAAUGGGGUUUAAAAGCUACAAUAUAUAUAUAUAUAUAUAUAUAUAUAUAAAGAAAACAAGCUACAAUAAUGGGGUUUAAAAGCUAGAUGCGUCCCAAUCGAUUUUUUUGAUUGUAUACAUUUACUCCCUUUCUAUAUAAAGAAAACAAAGUACAUUUCUCGACAUACUGUACUAAGAAAAAGAAAAUAAUAGUAACAAAAUAUUUAUAAAAAAAAAAAAAGAAGGGGAGAGGAGCGGUACUAUUGCAAUUAGUUACGGACUGCAGAAGACCAUUCCAGUCAGACUGUCCUUUUUUCUGGUCCCAUUUAGAUGAAUAUCCCGGCUCCCCUCAAACGUGCCUCCUCCUUCGAGUUUUGAUUGUGUCAUUUGUCAAUUUGUUAUAAUUGUCAGCCUAAAUUCUCAAUUUCUCAGACAGAAGAACAGCACAUAAUAGUACAGCACAUAAUAGUAGAGAGAUUCUGGACUAGAUUUUAACUUUUUAUGAAUGUUUUGUUAGGAGAUAAAAGGGAAAUGAUGUGUGCUUUAUUUUGAGUUGGACACAUUUUAAACACUCUGUUGGUAUCAUUGGAGAGUGAAGUGGACUUGAACAAAUGAAUGCACUCAAGUACUUGGUACUUCUUCGUUGACGGGUGCAUGCUUCUAUAACAAACAGCUUCUUGAGCUGAAUUCAUGCUGAUUUCCGAACUUUGAAACUCUCUUUUUAAUAGUAGUAUUUUCUUGAAUAAAGGCAAAAGAAACCCCCUUUUUUUUUCUUUUCCUUUUUUCGCUCAUUUACUGACUUUCCAAAGUAAAAUCCACUCCUCUUUCGUCUUACUUUCGGAAAAUAGGUCUUUUCACUGGUGAAAACUUGAAUACUUCGAUAGCCUCCAGGAAGAAUAGUUCCAACAUCCAACCCAGUGUCAACUUUCGUUUGUCUGUGAGUAAUACACUAGCUAUCCAAAUAAUAACUCAGGAAAACAGAAGUUGAUAAAUGAACGUGUUCUUUUCUAUUGAAGCGUAUUUUGUGUUGAAUGUAAUAAAGUUUGUAUUUUAUGACUUCAUUUGACAGGUUAAAAGAAAAGGUUGCUUGUGGAGGCUAAUAAGACUGUUGGGUUGCUCUCAGUUGGAGAUUUUAUUGGGCUUUAUUAUUGGAUUUUGGAAGCUCGAGUCUUCUGGGAUUUGCAGAGGAAAAAGGUCUAUCGUUGAGCAGAAAAUCUGCGGUUCGAGAAAUGUAAGUUUUCAGAUCUGAAUUCGAAUUUAUUAAUUGUGAUAAAAAAUGGGACUUUGGACUAGAAUUCCUGCUAGUAAUCUCUAACUAAGAUCCAAUAUCCUUCAAGUUUCAAUCUUUGUUGAUAUUUCCACUACCACAGGGAUAUGUAACUAAGGAGAGUAGUAACUUUGAUGGCAUGCGUGGGCAUUAUGUUUGUAUUGAGUUUUGGCAUAUUUCUUGGAGGAUUAAACGUAUUCAGUUCUUGUGUCAUGAGCCUGUAUUAAUUGAAUUGGAUAUCUCAUUGUUUGUAAGUUGUAACAACUUCAUUCUUGCAUAUUCUGCCUUUAUAAGCUUUACGGUGGCUCUGUUGUAUUAAUUCCGAGCUGGUCAUGAUUGACGGUUGUGCCUUGGCCUUUCGCAUUGUUUGGUUUUGUAUUUGCCUUCCAGUAGCACGAUAAAUGUCGUGCUUAGUAAUCCUUCUAACGUAAUUAUAUUUGUUAUUGGAUGCACUCCCUCUCCUCUUCUCUGUAGCUUUGUGCUAGUUGCAUUGCUUAAUUUAUUCAUAGGCUGAAAGUUCUCAAGUUUUGUCUUCUUGUCAUAGGUGCUGCCUUUGGUAGAGUUUGUUGCUAUUUUUGGUACAUGGGAACAAGUUAUCAGAAAUAUGGAUGCUGGGGAAGAUAGUUCUAGAUUUGCACCAAGACCAAGUACGGCUUCGAGGAAUUUGUCAUCCUCAUCUUCAGCGUUCUUUUCAGCAAAUCAAUCACCUUUUUUCUCUCCAAGAUCACCAACAUGUCAAGAUCACCAACAUGCUACCAGUAUGUUCAUUGAUCCCCUAAAUGCCUUUUUGAGAAUUGCUUACUUAGAAUCCUUAAGAAAUGUGACUUUUGCUUUGCCAGAUGCUUAUCCUAGUGCUGCAGCUUCUUGUCCUCCAAUUGAUCUUCAGAAGUUGGAACAAGUUUCUUCUUCAACAUGCAUUUCUGACUGCAGACUGUCAAGCUUUGUACGUGGUCAACAGUAUCGUGAAAAUGAUUAUAUGAGGCCCAUAGUGAAGCAGAAAAAGCUGGGGAAGAUGAAUGAAACUUCAGUAAAUUCGACUUCUACUUCGUCUUGCUCAAAUAGAUUGAGGAGUUGUGACGUGUACAUAGGCUUCCAUGGUCGCAAACCAUUAUUACAACGCUUUACUAAUUGGCUUCGUGCUGAGUUGGAGGCUCAAGGGUUGAGUUGCUUUGUAACAGAUAGAGCUCGUUGUCGAAAUUCCAGGAAACAUGCUAUUGUUGAAAGGGUGAUGGAUGCUUGUACAUUUGGGGUUGUGAUCUUAACAAGGAAGUCCUUCAGAAAUCCAUAUACAAUUGAAGAGCUGCGGUUUUUCUCAAGCAAGAAAAAUUUGGUUCCGAUAUACUUUGAUCUGGCUCCAGAGGACUGCUUGUCAGGGAUAUAAUAGAGAAACAAGGGGAGCUAUGGGAAAAACAUGGUGGAGAGCUCUGGGUACUCUAUGAAGGACUGGAGAAGGAAUGGAGAGAUGCUGUUUGUGCCCUUUCUCGUGUUGAUGAGUGGAAACUUGAGGCUCAUGAUGGGAAGUGGAGAGAUUGCAUACUCAGGGCUGUUACUCUUUUGGCAUUGAGAUUGGGAAGGAGAAGUGUCGUCGAUAGAUUAACAAAAUGGAGAGAGCAGCAGAGAAGGAAGAAUUCCCUUUCCCACGAAAUGAAAAUUUUGUUGGCAGGAAGAAGGAAUUAUCAGAGCUGGAAUUUAUGCUUUUUGGCGAUGUUAGUGGAGAUGCGGAAAAGGACUAUUUUGAGCUAAAGGCCAGACCUAGGAGAAAGAAUCUGACCAUUGGCUGGGGUAGGAGCAAUUCAGUAGAUGAGAAGAGAAAGGGGCGACAAAGCGAAAACAGCAAGAGAAAGGGGAAAGAACCUGUUGUCUGGAAGGAAUCUGAGAAGGAGAUUGAAAUGCAGAACAAUGAUUUUCCAGAAUCACAGCAGCAUACCCCAAAACUUAAGAGUAAUGCAAAGCAUGGUAGGAGAAGGAGAUCCAUGAAGGUUGUCUAUGGAAAGGGUAUUGCUUGCGUCUCAGGAGAUUGGGGAAUGGGCAAGACAGAGCUCCUUCUUGAGUUUGCAUACAGAUUUCAUCAGAGAUACAAAAUGGUUCUCUGGAUAGGAGGCGAAAGUAGGUAUAUCAGGCAAAAUUAUUUGAACUUGUGGCCGUUUUUAGAGGUUGAUGUAGGAGUGGAAAAUUGUCUGGGAAAAAGCCGGAUAAAAGCUUUGAAGAGCAGGAAGAUGCUGCCAUAGCCAGAGUUCGGAAGGAACUCAUGCGAAACAUACCUUUUCUGGUUGUAAUUGAUAACUUAGAGAGUGAAAAGGACUGGUGGGAUCACAAACUUGUAAUGGAUCUUCUUCCUCGUUUUGGGGGAGAAACCCAUGUCAUCAUAUCCACACGCCUUUCUCGUGUGAUGAAUUUAGAACCUUUAAGACUUUCUUACCUAUCAGGAAUUGAGGCAAUGUCUUUAAUGCAAGGGAAUGUCAAGGAUCUUCCAUUACCAGAGCUUGAUGCUCUACGGGCAAUUGAGGAAAAACUUGGAAGGAUAACUUUGGGCCUUGCCAUUGUGGGAGCAAUUUUGUCUGAACUUCCUAUAAAUCCAAGUAGGCUUUUGGAUACCAUUAAUAGAAUGCCUUCCAGGGACAUGAUGUGGAGUGGUAGAGAAAGUCAUUCAUUGAGGCGAAAUCAUUUCCUUCUACAACUUUUUGAGGUUUGUUUUUCAAUAUUCGACCAUGCAGAUGGACCAAGGUGUUUGGCGACAAGAAUGGUUCUAGCUAGUGGUUGGUUUGCACCAGCACCAAUUCCCAUUUCUCUUUUAGCUCUGGCAGCUAACAAGAUCCCUGAGAAACACCAGCGCCAGCAGCUCUGGAAGAAAGUAUUGAGCUCAUUAACUUGUGGCUUCACAUCCUCAUAUUCUAGAAGAUCUGAAGCAGAAGCAUCUUCAUUACUCUUGAGGUUUAAUUUUGCUAGAGCAUGUAUGAAGGAAGGUUGUAUCCAUUUCAACCCACUUCUGAAGCUUUAUGCCCGCAAGAGAGGAGUCAUUGGAGUUGCACAAGCCAUGGUACAAGCUGUAAUAAGUCGAGGAUCUAUUAACCAGCAUUCUGAGCACAUAUGGGCAGCAUGUUUUCUGCUCUUCAGAUUUGGAAAUGACCUAUAGUUGUUGAGCUUAAGGUGACCGAUUUAUUAUUUCUUGUUAAAGAAGUUAUCUUACCGCUUGCAAUCAGGGCAUUCAUCACAUUCUCACGAUGCAGUGCUGCCCUAGAACUUCUUAGGCUUUGUACUGAUGCAUUAGAAGCUGCAGAUCAAGCAUUUGUCACCCCAGUUGACAAGUGGUUGGAUAAGUCCCUCUGCUGGAAACCUAUCCAAACUAAUGCCCAGUUGAAUCCUUGCCUUUGGCAGGAGCUUGCAUUGUCAAGAGCUACAGUGCUAGAAAUCAGAUCGAAGCUAAUGAUGAGAGGGGGACAAUUUGAUAUAGGGGACGAUCUAAUUAGGAAGGCUGUGUUUAUUCGAACUUCCAUCUGCGGUGACGACCAUCCUGACACCAUUUCUGCAAGGGAAACCCUUGCCAAACUUACAAGACUCCUUGUUAAUGUUCAAAGCCAUACUUCCAUAAAUAACUUUUUUCUUUGUAAGCAUAGUUCAUGGUAGCCACACACAAUUUUGAAUAAAUAACGUUUCAGUUCAGAAGAAAAGUCAGUGCCAUUUCUACAUGAAUUAGAUAGCCAUUCUUUCCAAAAAUUCUUUAUAUUGCUCUAUGAAAUGUAAAUCAUUAUUGUCAUUCAUUCACUCUGUGUUAGCUGUUGUUUCUGAACCGUUUAACGUGCUGUUUACAGCUAUCCUUGUUGACUGAGUUUCUUGUGAACAGAGCCUUGAAGGUAAAAAAAAUAGUGUUGCAUCAAGUAAUAUGUGCCUAAUAUAGGCUCUAUCGUUUUAACCUUUGAUGCACCUGGCCUACUGCUUACUCUCCCACUAUAGAUGUAGUGGAGCUAACUGCUGCCAAUUGAUAUAGCCACUAUGGAGCUGACUCCUUACUCUCCAAAAUAUGUUCCUGCUUCUCUGUUGAAAAACGCGUUCCCAUUCUGGCUUUCCUUCGGCUAAGGAUAGGAAGAAGUCCGAUGAAUGAAAAAAACGAGACGCGUUUUUGGUCACGCCAAGUAUUUUGUGCCAAAUUGGUUUAAUGCAACAUAAGGAUUGGGAAUGGUUAUGCAUGUAGUGCAUGUGGUUCUGAAAUGUACGAGGUUGUAUUUGUUGCCUGUAUUUAAAACUAUUCUAGAUAAGCUAGGAGAUUUGCUGUAGUUAGUCAUCACAGUUUCUUAAUUGGCUGUACCAUUGCAUGACGCUUGAAAAGUGCCUCUUUGCUAACAGUUCUGAGGGUAAAAGAUAAGAGAAAGGAAGCAGAGAUCAGGGCUUCUGAUCUAUUUAAAUCAUAUGCUCUGAGCCUUCGAAUAAGUUAGCAAGCGGACUAUUCUGUAUUUAGCUUUGCUUCUUUUGGCAUUCUUAAACUGGCAAGCAGCUGAAUUAGUAUGUUGCUUGUUGUCUUUUUAGUCUGUUGAUCUGAUUGAGGUGAUUGACAGCAAACAUAAGAAGUAAAUCAACAUUUUUUUGUGUGGCAUAGAAGGGAUACUAAAGUGCAAGCCACCAGUUUAGGCAGGGAAACGAGUAUCUCAUGUUAUGAGAUUAUGAAAUAGCUUUUUAACAGCUCUAAUUCAAUUUAUGCUGUAAUUGCUCAAGGGAAAUAGAAACAGCGCUGCAUGCCCUAAUAGACUGCCAAUGGAUAACAGAAAUAUGGAAAAAAUUGGUACACCCAAAUCAUUGGAAGGAUUUCUGGGAGGAGGACCUCACCUAACUGAAUGGAUUGACUGGAAUUUAAUCAGAAGACUUAAGUUGGGGGAUCAUAAUCCAGUUGAUUGUCUACCAUUCGUGGGCAGCAAGGAAUGAGUUCCAAGCAUCGCGAGAGAAACAUAAGAUGGAAACCACCAUUGCAGCCUUGCUAAAGCAGGCUUCACUAGCACAGAGGGCAAUGCAGAACCAAGCAAUCAGCUUUGACAAAGAAAUAAAAAUGAUCAACUGGAGUAAACCUCCAACAGGCUGGAGUGGAUGGGGCAGCUGCAGGGAAUCCAGGGAAGGCAGGUGCAGGUGGACUACUGAGGGAUGAGAUGGCGUGGUGGGAGGGGGGAUUCCUAGCAAAUAUAGGAACAGCAAGCAACAUCAUAGCAGAGCUGCGGGCACUUUUGAAGGGAGAGAGGCUAUAGUAAGAUUAUAAUCGAAAUGGAUUCACUUGCAGCUUUACAUCUAGUGGAGCAAAAUCCUACUGCAAGCCCCCAUACAAAUUUGAUCUAGAGGAUCAGGGAAAUGAAGGCACGAAACUGGGAAUGCAAGAUGGUCCACACUUGGCGAGAGGGCAAUGUUUGUGCAGACUAUCUAGCGAAGGAAAGUUUAAAGACAAGUGCUGGAGUCACUUGGAUCGAAAGUCCCUGGCAGAACUUGGCAACAUUCCUGGCAGCAGACAUCAUGGGAGUCAGUACCUCCAGACUAGUUUCCAUGUAAUAGGCCACGGCCUUCCAAAGUACCAAAAAAAAAAAAAAGUGAAAUAGCUUUUCAACCAGCUAAUUAGAAUGGCCAUUCGGUUUUCUUCUGAUUGAUAGUCUAUGAUUUGCAGAAAUUUACUCUGGGUCAACAGGGAUUAUGCACUAAUAAACUGUACUACCAGUAAUACCUACUACUUUGUUGCGUAUUGUCUGGCUUUGAUUUUGUUGAGAUGUGCAGCAUGCUUUGGAGCUGAUACUCUUAUCGCCAGUUGCAGUAUGAUGUAAGGAAAGAGUAGAUAGCUCUUAUGUAGAGAUUCCCAAGAUUCUACCCUCCGGAGUUGCAGGUGUUCUUGGAUCCUUUCAUAUUACUAGACUUUUCCGGAUUAUUGUCAACACAAUCGGCAGGUCGUGGACGCCAGAUCCUGCAUGCUUUUUAUAGAGUUCGCUAGAGUCAUAUCAGCAGAAUUUUUUCUUGUUCAUAUGAACAGAUUUACUAGUGAAAUUUUAGUAGCAUUCGCUGAGAAAUCAAGGAGGACUCCACCUCUCCUUUGCACCAUUUAUUAGAAGAUCAUUUUCUUAUGGAUUAUUGGGAGAGACGUUUCCAGAACAUGCAAUCAUUUCCGGUAUUUUUAUGGAGCUUCUAUAAGCUGUACUUGUGGAUAAAACAAAAAUCGAGUAUAAUUGCUGUGCUUAAUGUUUAAGAAUUUACUUUUCUUUCAUUGUUGAUUAUGAACUUCACCCUACAAUAGGAGUUAGAAAUCCAGGCCAUGGUGGCUUCAUGAUCAUAAUUCAAUUUCAACAAAUUGGACAAAAUGAGGGCUCACGUAGGGCCGUAAACUAACUGAGCCCUUAACAAAUAGUUCUAACCUGAUUCAUUAAGAGCGCUCGAUUUUCAUUGAACUCGAGCUCGAAUUUGAAUGGAAAUUAGGAUUCAUUUAUAGUAUCGGUUCAGGUUCGAACUUGUAGAUAUUUGGUUGAUUAAGGCUCAAUUUGAUUCAAAAAAUUUUUAACAUUUUUAUUUAAAGUAUUUGUUAGUAUUUCAUAUAAACAUAUAUACUUAUUAUUUUAUUAUAUAGAUAUUAUAUAUGCAUUGGUGAUGAUUUAAUAUUAAAAAUGAAGAGUUAAAUAAAUUUUCAAACUCGACUCAUCAAAUAUUAAAUCGAAUCGAGCUCAAAUUUUAAAUUUUGAAUUCGUAUAGAAUUCGAGUUCAUACUUGAAUUUGAGUCAAAAAUUUCGAAUCAAGCUCGAAUCGUGAAAAGUUAGAUUCAAUUCGUUCACGCCAUAGUUCCCUGCUGCCAUUCUGGGUUAGCAAGCCAUAUUCUGCGUCAUGGCAGUAGUAGUUGAAAUUUACGAUAAUUUGACAUUUCUCCUCGUCAUUAUCAUCUUUAAGUUGCCAAUAGCUCCUUAGAAUUGAUCUAGUGACAAACAAAUUUGACUAGGUUCUUUUUCCUGCAUCUUUUUUGUUCAAAAUUGAGUCAGUCACUUGAAAUCAUCUUUCUAAUGAUUUUCUUGCUUCAUUCUGCAAUGGUGAUUCCCGGUGCUUGGAUCUUUCCGUGUUGCUUUUGUUGGCUCCUACAUUUUGUGAGAUUGCUGACUCCUUGUUGUUUAUGUUUGUUGCUAUAGUAAGAAGCCUGUGCUUCUGACAUUGUUCCGUGAUUUUUGAGACUGAAGUGGGAUGGGCCAAAGUAGAUGCUAUGGGGUCUAUUGAGUCCAAUCCAGUUAUUUUUGGUAUUAGACUCAGAGUGAAUCCCUGAUAAUUGCCAGAUCUGUUUCUAUGUAUGUUCAUGGUUCCUUAGUUAAUUUGUGUUAGGCUAUUGUAUUAGUGGUCACUAUGCUAUCAUUUUUUUCUUGGUACUUUUCCCUUCUGGACUUUAAUUCACGGGAUUGUUUGCUAAGUCAUGGCAAACUAGAAUGUUAUAUUGAUCUUCUGAAAGGUGACAUUUUUUUUUAGGCAUUCUGAUGGAAGGUGAACCUCAUUCCUUUUUUCAACUGAUAUCUUUGAAUUUUUUUCCCUCGUCCCGGGAAAUUUUUUUUUUUUUUUUUGGGUAGAAGAAGGUGCCAACAUGUUCUUGCUUAAUAUUGCAUUAAGUGGUGCGAUCCAUGUUUGAGUUUGCGUGUGCAAAAUUGUGAAUUCAAUGGUUUGUUGAUAAGCACUAAUUCAUUGAUCUCCAAGGAAAAAAAGGUCAAUGAUAUGGAUAGAAUUUGAAACUUUUAUUCGGACAAUGCUUAAGAAUGCGCAGUCUAAAAAUAUAGACAUGGCCUAGGAUUGGUUCGACCGUGAGCUUCCCCACUAUGUUUUUGUUUUCUUUCUUUAUUUGCUAAUCAAUUUUAUAAAGCCAAAUUCACCAAUUAAACAAUUUCAGAAAAGGUUCAACUAGCUACCCUAAUAAUCAAAAGAAUUAUUUUCUCUAGGAAAAAAUAGAAAUGACCUUAAAAUUAGCUAAGCAGCAAAGGCUGCAUGUAUUUUCUCACAAAGAAAUUAAAAAAAAAAAAUUGAAGGAGAACAAUCUCUUCCAAUUAAAAAGAUUGUUUAGUCUCGAGUCAACUGAGACAACAAAUUACCUUUUCAUAGAGCUAACUAAUUCAAUCUAAGUAAUUUUAUCAACCAAAAAAAAAAAAAAAUCUCAAAUUCAAUCACCCAGCUUUUAAAGAAGAAGCCCCACUACACUAAAAACGUUUCAAUAAAGGAGCGUACCUUCAACGACAAUCGAACUUGAAUCAAACUUUAAUGACCUCAAUUCCAACAUAGAAUUAAACCAUUAUCGCGUUGGAUAUCUUGUGCAAGGUGCGAUUGUUUCAUCAAUUGAAGAGCAACAUCCAAAAAGGAAAAAGAAAAAAGGAAAACCAACAUCCACACCAAAAAGAAAUGAUUUCGCAAAGAAACUGAGAUAGGUUAAUAAAAGAGCCAGGCUGCGUUAAGUCCAAAACAAAUUUUUUAUAAGCCAGAAUGAAUCAAUAUGAACAAUAAUGGUACAAGUUUCAAACACAAGCAUCACCAAUUUAUCCAGCAAAUGAAACUCUGAUAUGAUUAGACUUAUUCAUGUACAGACACACAGUUAAACAUGUCAUUAGAUUCAUUCCCUCAAGGAUCAGCUUUGCCAGCUACUUCCUCAUCAUCACUGGAGGGAUAUUCAUCUUCACUCA